CUGGACUGGAACAGUAAUUUGUGAAGGGUUUUAAAUGAAAGAGCAAGUGUUCAGACUCCUAGAGAACUCUGAAGACUAAACUGAAUUGAAAUUUGCAGCAAUAUAUGCUAGGGAACUCAUAAUACAUUGCUGAUUACAGGAGUGCAGAGAUGAAAAGUUUAAUAUCAACUCUGGCUCUCCUUCACUGCUAGGGCUAAAUGUGAAUAUUAUCCAAGGAUGUUUCUAAAUGAAUCUCCAGUAGUUCUCUCUUUCCAAGUCAGAUCUCAGAAUCUCUUCACUUGAGUCAAGCUACUCCCAGCUUUGGCACACAUCUGGUCCAACACUACUUUGGGAUAUGUUUUGUUAAGGUUGCUGCUCUGCCUGGAAGGCUCUCAUUCCUCUGCUGCUUGACCCGAGCUUUCCUUCCUCUAAGAACUGCUAGAGGCUCCUAGAUGCCUUUCCAAACCAACUUCUCUUCUAUGAGAUCAGCUCUCAGCUUUGUAUUCCUUGGCGUCUAUGGAGUCUAUUUAUCAGAUACAUGGAGAAGACUGCUGACAGCUGUGGUACAUGCCUCUGGCAACUGUGGACUACAGAAACAUAAAGGACCAAGAAAGUCCCUGUGGGGGGAACCUAACAUCUCAUCUGGGAGAGAGCAAACAAAGAGAUGAAAUUGCUUCGGGAGAGAGUAAAGCCGGAAGAGAAGGAAGGCCAAAGACUACACCUUAGAAGAUCACUGACAUGUAGCUUCUCAGAGUUAGAGGAACCAGAAAAGAAAACUCAGAAGGGGGCGCCACUGAAGCAGGGGGGAAAACAGAACAAUGUGGUGUCCUAAAAGCCGAGAGAUGAAAAACGCUUCACAAAGGCGACCGUUGUGUCGGAUGCACGGAUGACUCAGACAGGCCAAGCAAGGUGCAGACCGUGAACUGGUGAAUGGGUGUUGGGACGUGGAGGUUGCUGGGACUUCAACAAGAGUGGUUUGCUUGUGUAAUGACAACACAAACCUGGUUGGGGGGAUUUCAAGGGCUGGUGAGAAAGCAAAGACCACUUUUCAAUAUUUUCCUUAUGUUCUGCGCUGUGCAAGGCUCCAUGGGGUCAUGAUAUAGAAGGAAAAAAGGAGAAAAUUUAGGAACAGUAUGGUAAGUCAUUUAGAAAGAGUGAUUAUUUCUGACUAUAGUUGAAAAUAAUCCCUCAGGACAUAUUGGCUGCACUUUUUCCCUUACUAAAUUUAAAAUGGCUGAACUAUCUCAUUUGAACACAUAAAUAUGACUAUUCAUUGAUUCUUAAGACUUUUAAGGUAGUUCUUAUGUCCUGAAUCUGACAGCAGGAAACUUUCAGCAAAUAACUGAAAACAAAGCAAGAUGCUAUUAACUACCCAGCAAAUUCCCCAACAGGAGCAGAGACAAGAACCAGUUGCAUACGAGUACAUUUUCCUGUUGUUAACUUGUGUUAAAUUUCUUUUUCAUUUUAAUCAUAGAAAAAACAAGCAGUUCAAAAUGGGUCUUAUGGAUACAUUUAAGUGUGAUUUUUAAACCUAUGCUUUAAAACCAGAUUUUUAGAUCAAUCACAUUUUCUAGUUAAGAAUAUUAGUACUAGCUAUUGCUUAGAUAGUGACUACUUUCUACUGAUCCCUUACCUAACCUUACUAUUUCCAAUUACUCUUUAAAGUACUUAGUAUUUAAUCCAACCAUAUGCUAGGAGAUAGGUUUUUCUUAUAAAUGAGGAAACUGAGGCUCAGAGGGAUCAAAUGUCUUGCUUAGAGUUAGGAAUGAGAAGCUGGUGGAGCCAGACUUCCUACUGAAGAACAAUUUGGCUCAGUGUCUGGGCUCCUAAUCAUUGGGCAAACUGCUCCUCAAAAUGUGCUCUUUUAACAGGAAAGGAAACCAACCUGCAGCUGCUUUACAGCAAGUGUUUCUUUCUGUAUUAAAAUUUUUUUUUUAAUUUUAGUGGCCAAAUAAAAUGUUAUUGAUAUAUUUAAAAGGUAUUUUUAAGCUUUCAGCCUUGUGGGUGAUUUUUUUUUUUUUUUUUUUUUUUGGUGUAUAAAAAAAUGUACCACAGUGCUCUAAUUAAAAGAGGGCAAUGCCAAUUGCCCCUGAACUUUCAGAGCAGAGAGUUCUGUCUUGAAAGAAGCUUUGUUUAAAAGACAAAGACUAGAAAGAAAAAGUAGUGACAAAGUUUCAUCAGGAGUCAAGUUCUGAGCCAACAGCCAUCUACCAGUUCUCAGAAAUAUUUAGGAUGCUGCCUUUCUUCAAGUUUAAAUUAAAGGAAAGCCAUUAAUGUGUGAUAUUAAUCUUUGCAACCCAGGCCAAAACUCUGUGGGCUUAGGAUGAGAACCCUGAGUCCACAAUGUAGCCAGUCUCAUUGCCCAUCAACCCAGUGACAGCCAGCUAGAAAUAAUAUUGAAUUGAAUUCAGUAAGAAUAUACUGCUGGGAGAGGUGGCUCACACCUAUAAUUCCAACAUUUUGAGAGUCUGAGGUGAUGGAUCACCUGAGGUUCGAGACCAGCCUGGCCAGUAUGGUGAAACCCUGUCUCUACUAAAAAUACAAAAAUUAGCCAGGCAUGCUAGAACAUGCCUGUAAUUCCAGCUACUCUGGAGGCUGAGGCAGGAGAAUCACUUGAACCAAGGUGGCAGAGACUGCAGUGAGCCAGGAUCGCGCCAUUGCACUCCAGCCUGGGCAACAGAAGGAGACUCCAUCUCAAAACACUUUCAUGUUUCUGUUAGGAAAUGGCCAUGGGAAUGACAUUGGUAGCCUACCUUCUUGCUCAUUCUUUCCUAUAAAAUGGGAAUUGUUUUAUCUGAUCAUGAACAGUCAGAGCCUUGGAUAGAGUUUGUUUUACUAGGCAAGAUGCGGUCUGCUCUCUUCUUGCUUCAAUGCUGUCAUAUGGAAGUGUAUCUAUGCUUAUUAGUGCACAUUCUAGAGGCAGAGCAGGAGACCCAUCACACGCUGUCCCCACUCCUGGAGCUCAGUAAGGACAAACAGUAAAAUUUCCCCAUAGAGAUGUAUGGAUAGCAGUCAGCUGGCCAAAUUAGUCUCUCUCUCUUGGAUAAAUUGUCUUGAGGUGGGAUCUUGCUGGAAGUAUUGCAAAAUACUUUUGGCACUAGGACCAAUUCGGUCUCUAAUUUAGAGGUAAUUGCAUAAAAGCUUAUGGACACUGAUUUCUACCUGCUUUCUGUAUAUACAUUUUGGUUUUUUGUUUGUUUGAGGCAGGGUUUGCCCUGUGGCCCAGGCUGGAGUACAGCAGCGUGAUCACAGCUCACUGUAGCCUCGACCUCCUAGGCUCAAGCAGUCCUUCUACCUCAGCCUCCCAAGUAGUUGGGGAUUACAGGCACAUACCACCAUGCCCAGGUAACUUUUUAUUUGUACUUUUUGUAGAGAAAAUAUCCUCCCUAUGUUUCCCAGGCUGGUCUCAGACUCCUGCCCUCAAGUGAUCCUCCUGCCUUAGCCUCCCAAGGCACUGGGAUUUACAAGUAUGAGCCAUGGCAUUCAGCCUGAAGAAACAUUUUUGAAUCCCAUGUUUUAUAUUCAAUCUGCAAUUCAAGAGCAACUCUUGGCCAAGUACAGUGGCUCACACCCAUAAUCCCAAAACUUUGGGAGGCUGAGACAAGUGGAUCAUUUCAGAUCAGGAGUUUGAAACUAGCCUGGCCAAUAUGGCAAAACCCUGUCUCUACUAAAAACACAAAAAUUACUUGGGUUUGGUGGCACGUACCUGUAAUCCCAGUUACUGGGGAGGCUGAGGCAAGAAAUCUGGGAGGCAGAGGUUGUGGUAAGUCGGAUCGUGCCACUGCAUUCUAGCCUGCGUGACAGAGUAAGAGCUUGUCUCCAAAAAAAAAAAAAAUAGCAACUAUUCUUAGUUAUACUUCUAAAAUCUCUCUCAUCUAGCCACUUGUCUCUGCCCAGCUUCUUCACAUGCACACCAUGGUUCCAGAUAUCUUCCUAUCUACCUUCACACUUAUAAAACCCUUCUCACUGGUUUCCUGAUUCUACUUAUAUCUCUCUUUAAUGCAACUAUCAUAUAACAGACAGAGUAAUGAUUGAAAAAUAAAAAACAGGCCAAGAACAGAGGCUCACGCCUGUAAUUCCAACACUUUGGGAGGCCGAGGUGGGAGAAUUGCUUAAGCCCAAGGAAUUUGGUACAAACUCCAUUUGUACAAAAAAUGCAAAAAUAUUAGCCAAGGGAAGCCAUUAGAGACGUUUCCGACACUAUGGCACUCUGGCUGAGAUACUGCACUUUUCCCAUGGUCUUCACAACUUGCAAACCAGGAGAUUCCCUCUUGUGCCUACACCACCAGUGCCUCAGCUUUCCAGCACAAAACUGGGUGGCUGUUCUAGCCGCAGCAGUUUUUUUAUUCUCAUAUGCCAGUGGUACCUAAAAUGCCAGCAAGACAGAACUACUCAUUCCCCUGAAAAAGCGGGCUGAAGCCAAGGAGCCAAGUGAUUCGGCUUGCUGGGUCCCACCCCCACAAAGACCAGCAAGCUAAGAUC
rnacentral:lncRNA from 1 species